AUUGAACGCUGGCGGCAGGCCUAACACAUGCAAGUCGAGCGAGCGGCGGACGGGUGAGUAAUGUCUGGGAGAUUGCCUGAUGUGGGGGGAUAACUACUGGAAAAGGUGGCUAAUACCGCAUACCAUCAGAUGUGCCCAGAUGGGGUUAGCUAGUAGGUGGGGUAACGUCUCACCUAGGCGACGCGCCCUAGAUGGUCUGAGAGGAUGACCAGCCACACUGGAACUGAGACACGGUCCAGACUCCUACGGGAGGCAGCAGUGGGGAAUAUUGCACAAUGGGCGCAAGCCUGAUGCAGCCAUGCCGCGUGUGUGAAGAAGGCCUUCGGGUUGUAAAGCACUUUCAGCGGGGAGGCGUUACCCGCAGAAGAAGCACCGGCUAACUCCGUGCCAGCAGCCGCGGUAAUAC
rnacentral:rRNA from 1 species